CUACAAUGAAGAGACUCUGAACUCUCUCUUUCUGAUGCUUCAAUGGAGAAUCGAAAGCAGUCUGAGUAGC
ensembl:snoRNA SNORD26 Small nucleolar RNA SNORD26